rnacentral:lncRNA from 1 species
CUCAUUCAUAUCAGUACGAUUUAUGUUGUUAAGGCGUUGAUUAGAAGUGCACGUUCUGCUCUUUGAUUCGAUUUUAUCAAAUUUCAAUUCAAUUCUUUGAUUUACAAUUUUAAAAAGUAGUCAUCGAACACCGAAUCGAACUAUUUCAGUUUGAUUCAUUUUCUUUCAACUUUUUUUUUAUUUGAUUUGGUGUUCAGAAAUAUUUAAAAUUUUUGUCCUUCGUUAAAAGUGUCUACUUUAGACAAAAUUAUUUCCUCAAUAUUUAAGAAUUGAAAAUUUAUCAAAUAUUUUAAUAAAAUAUAUG